GGGUGGUAAUGCCGGAUGCUCCGACUCCUCGCAUGGGGUGUCGGGAAAGAUUAUAUCGGUAUGGGAUGGGGUCGCGUCCUAUCAGGUAGUCGGCGGGGUAACGGCCCACCGAGCCUACGACGGGUAGCCGGCCUGAGAGGGCGACCGGCCACAUUGGGACUGAGAUACGGCCCAGACUCCUACGGGAGGCAGCAGUGGGGAAUAUUGCACAAUGGGCGCAAGCCUGAUGCAGCGACGCCGCGUGCGGGAUGACGGCCUUCGGGUUGUAAACCGCUUUUGAUCGGGAGCAAGCCUUCGGGUGAGUGUACCUUUCGAAUAAGCACCGGCUAACUACGUGCCAGCAGCCGCGGUAAUACGUAGGGUGCAAGCGUUAUCCGGAAUUAUUGGGCGUAAAGGGCUCGUAGGCGGUUCGUCGCGUCCGGUGUGAAAGUCCAUCGCUUAACGGUGGAUCUGCGCCGGGUACGGGCGGGCUGGAGUGCGGUAGGGGAGACUGGAAUUCCCGGUGUAACGGUGGAAUGUGUAGAUAUCGGGAAAGAACACCA
rnacentral:rRNA from 1 species